AAGGCGAAAGCUGAAAAUUUUCAAGUUAUAAUGAAGAUUUAUAUAAAUACAUAUUUAUAUAUUUUGGAUUUAAACACUUGAUUAUUUUUGAACGAAAGGGAAUACGGUUCCAAUUCCGUAACCUGUUGAGUAUACGUUUGUUAUUAAAAAUGGGCUUUAUGCUCAUCCUGGCAACAGAAACAACCAUAAAGAAGCCGUCGAGAGGUAUCGGAAGAGUUUUCUUUUCUGUUUUAUAGUCGUACUACCAUGGAAGUCUUUCGAAGAGAGAUAUGGUAGAUGGACUAGAAGAGCAUGACAUUUACUGUUGUGUCGAUAUUUUCUCCUCGGACCUUGAAAAUUUAUGGUAGGGUCACGCAAACUUCUCAACAGGCCGUACCGAUAUCCGCAGCUGGUCUCCAAGGUGAAGAGUCUCUAGUCGAUAGAAUAAUGUAGGUAAGGGAAGUCGGCAAAUUAGAUCCGUAACUUCGGGAUAAGGAUUGGCUCUGAAGAUUGAGAUAGUCGGGCUUGAUUGGGAAGCAAUAACAUGGUUUAUGUACUCGUUCUGGAUAAAUAAAGAUCUUCGGAUCUUGUUCUCCGGAUAGUAGUUUACUUAACCAAUUGUGGAACUUUCUUGCUAAAAUUUUUAAGGAACUAUCGUCAGAUGGUCCUUUUAAAUUAUAACGAUUAUCAAUUAACAAUCAAUUCAGAACUGGCACGGACUUGGGGAAUCCGACUGUCUAAUUAAAACAAAGCAUUGUGAUGGCCCUAGCGGGUGUUGACACAAUGUGAUUUCUGCCCAGUGCUCUGAAUGUCAACGUGAAGAAAUUCAAGUAAGCGCGGGUCAACGGCGGGAGUAACUAUGACUCUCUUAAGGUAGCCAAAUGCCUCGUCAUCUAAUUAGUGACGCGCAUGAAUGGAUUAACGAGAUUCCUUCUGUCCCUAUCUACUAUCUAGCGAAACCACAGCCAAGGGAACGGGCUUGGAAUAAUUAGCGGGGAAAGAAGACCCUUUUGAGCUUGACUCUAGUCUGGCAGUGUAAGGAGACAUAAGAGGUGUAGCAUAAGUGGGAGAUUUAUGAAUUUAUUCAUAUAUCGCCAAUGAAAUACCACUACUCUUAUUGUUUCCUUACUUACUUGAUUAAAUGGAACAUGUAUCAUUUCCUAGCCAUUAUACGGAUAUAUUUAUUAUAUCUUAUGGUAUUUGGUCUUGAUGCAAGAUUCUUGAUCAAAAUAUCAAGAGUUUGUUAUAUAAUUGUAAACAGAUCUUAAUAAAAUAGAACAUCUUAUCGAUGUUACUAUUAUAAUUGAGAUUUGGUAUAACUCCAGCACUCAGGUAUGAUCCAAUUCAAGGACAUUGCCAGGUGGGGAGUUUGACUGGGGCGGUACAUCUCUCAAAUAAUAACGGAGGUGUCCCAAGGCCAGCUCAGUGCGGACAGAAACCACACAUAGAGCAAAAGGGCAAAUGCUGACUUGAUCUCGGUGUUCAGUACACACAGAGACAGCUAAAGCUCGGCCUAUCGAUCCUUUUGGUUUAAAGAGUUUUUAACAAGAGGUGUCAGAAAAGUUACCAUAGGGAUAACUGGCUUGUGGCGGCCAAGCGUUCAUAGCGACGUCGCUUUUUGAUCCUUCGAUGUCGGCUCUUCCUAUCAUUGUGAAGCAAAAUUCACCAAGCGUUGGAUUGUUCACCCAUUCAAGGGAACGUGAGCUGGGUUUAGACCGUCGUGAGACAGGUUAGUUUUAUCCUACUAAUGACAAUUUUGUUGCGACAGCAUUCCUGCGUAGUACGAGAGGAACCGCAGGUACGGACCAAUGGCACAAUACUUGUUCGAGCGAACAGUGGUAUGACGCUACGUCCGUUGGAUUAUGCCUGAACGCCUCUAAGGUCGUAUCCGUGCUGGACUGCAAUGAUAAAAAUGGGGUAAUUGCAUUGUAUGGCUUCUAAAUCAUUUGAAGUUUAUAUUAAUUUAUAAACGACAAUGAAUAUAUGAUGCCAAUGUUAUUUGUAACAUAGCAAAUCCGGGAGGAUUAAUUAUCACCUGGGUGCCGCGCUAGUUACAUAUUAAAACAUUAUUUAAUACAAUGACAAUGCCUAGAAUCAAUUGUAAACGACUUUUGUAACGGGCAAGGUGUUGUAAGUGGUAGAGCAGCUGC
rnacentral:rRNA from 1 species